rnacentral:rRNA from 1 species
AUUGAACGCUGGCGGCAGGCUUAACACAUGCAAGUCGAGCGAGCGGCGGACGGGUGAGUAAUGUCUGGGAAACUGCUUGAUGGAGGGGGAUAACUACUGGAAACGGUAGCUAAUACCGCAUAGCAUCCGCUUGGACCAGAUGGGAUUAGCUAGUAGGUGGGGUAAUGGCUCACCAAGGCGAAGAUCCCUAGCCGGUCUGAGAGGAUGACCGGCCACACUGGAACUGAGACACGGUCCAGACUCCUACGGGAGGCAGCAGUGGGGAAUCUUGCACAAUGGGCGCAAGCCUGAUGCAGCCAUGCCGCGUGUGUGAAGAAGGCCUUCGGGUUGUAAAACACUUUCAGCGAGGAGGCGUUACUCGCAGAGGAAGCACCGGCUAACUCCGUGCCAGCCGCCGCGGUAAUAC